rnacentral:rRNA from 1 species
AGAGUUUGAUCAUGGCUCAGAGCGAACGCUGGCGGCAGGCUUAACACAUGCAAGUCGAACGGACGCAGCAAUGCGUCAGUGGCAGACGGGUGAGUAACACGUGGGAACGUGCCCUUCGGUUCGGAACAACCCAGGGAAACUUGGGCUAAUACCGGAUACGUCCGCAAGGAGAAAGAUUUAUCGCCGAAGGAUCGGCCCGCGUCUGAUUAGCUUGUUGGUGAGGUAACGGCUCACCAAGGCGACGAUCAGUAGCUGGUCUGAGAGGAUGAUCAGCCACACUGGGACUGAGACACGGCCCAGACUCCUACGGGAGGCAGCAGUGGGGAAUAUUGGACAAUGGGCGCAAGCCUGAUCCAGCCAUGCCGCGUGGGUGAUGAAGGCCUUAGGGUUGUAAAGCCCUUUCGGCGGGGAAGAUAAUGACGGUACCCGCAGAAGAAGCCCCGGCUAACUUCGUGCCAGCAGCCGCGGUAAUACGAAGGGGGUUAGCGUUGCUCGGAAUCACUGGGCGUAAAGCGCACGUAGGCGAAUUGCUAAGUCAGGGGUGAAAUCCUGGAGCUCAACUCCAGAACUGCCUUUGAUACUGGCGACCUUGAGUCCGGGAGAGGUGAGUGGAACUGCGAGUGUAGAGGUGAAAUUCGUAGAUAUUCGCAAGAACACCAGUGGCGAAGGCGGCUCACUGGCCCGGUACUGACGCUGAGGUGCGAAAGCGUGGGGAGCAAACAGGAUUAGAUACCCUAGUAGUCC